UAGGGAAUCUUCGGCAAUGGGGGGAACCCUGACCGAGCAACGCCGCGUGAGUGAAGAAGGUUUUCGGAUCGUAAAGCUCUGUUGUUAAGGAAGAACGAGUGUGAGAAUGGAAAGUUCAUACUGUGACGGUACUUUACCAGAAAGGGACGGCUAACUACGUGCCAGCAGCCGCGGUAAUACGUAGGUCCCGAGCGUUGUCCGGAUUUAUUGGGCGUAAAGCGAGCGCAGGCGGUUAGAAAAGUCUGAAGUGAAAGGCAGUGGCUCAACCAUUGUAGGCUUUGGAAACUGUUUAACUUGAGUGCAGAAGGGGAGAGUGGAAUUCCAUGUGUAGCGGUGAAAUGCGUAGAUAUAUGGAGGAACACCGGUGGCGAAAGCGGCUCUCUGGUCUGUAACUGACGCUGAGGCUCGAAAGCGUGGGGAGCGAACAGG
rnacentral:rRNA from 1 species